UGCGUAGGCGGCCUUAUAAGUCUGAGUUGAAAGCCCACGGCUUAACCGUGGAGGGUGCUCGGAAACUGUAAGGCUUGAAUCCAGAAGAGGCAAGUAGAAUUCUAUGUGGAGCGGUGGAAUGCGUAGAUAUAUGGAGGAAUACCAGUGGCGAAGGCGGCUUGCUGGUCUGGGAUUGACGCUGAGGCACGAAAGCGUGGGGAGCAAACA
rnacentral:rRNA from 1 species